rnacentral:rRNA from 1 species
AUUGAACGCUGGCGGAAUGCUUUACACAUGCAAGUCAAACGGCAGCACGGGGGCAACCCUGGUGGCGAGUGGCGAACGGGUGAGUAAUACAUCGGAACGUGCCCAGUCGUGGGGGAUAACGUAGCGAAAGCUACGCUAAUACCGCAUACGAACUGAGGUUGAAAGCGGGGGAUCGCAAGACCUCGCGCGAUUGGAGCGGCCGAUGGCAGAUUAGGUAGUUGGUGGGGUAAAGGCCUACCAAGCCGACGAUCUGUAGCUGGUCUGAGAGGACGACCAGCCACACUGGGACUGAGACACGGCCCAGACUCCUACGGGAGGCAGCAGUGGGGAAUUUUGGACAAUGGGCGCAAGCCUGAUCCAGCCAUUCCGCGUGCAGGAUGAAGGCCCUCGGGUUGUAAACUGCUUUUGUACGGAACGAAAAGGCUUUCUCUAAUACAGAGAGCUCAUGACGGUACCGUAAGAAUAAGCACCGGCUAACUACGUGCCAGCCGCCGCAGUAACAC